rnacentral:rRNA from 1 species
UACGUAGGGUGCGAGCAUUGUCCGGAAUUAUUGGGCGUAAAGAGCUCGUAGGCGGCCUGUCACGUCGGAUGUGAAAGCCCGGGGCUUAACCCCGGGUCUGCAUUCGAUACGGGCAGGCUAGAGUUCGGUAGGGGAGAUCGGAAUUCCUGGUGUAGUGGUGAAAUGCGUAGAGAUCGGGAGGAACACCUGUGGCGAAGGCGGCCGGCUGGGGGUGCCCUGACGCUGAGGCGCGAAAGCGUGGGGAGCAAACAGG